ACUGUUGGUGGCUCACAAUGCUCGAACUUUCGAUGUACCUUUUCUGACUAAUGAAUUUAAUAGAUGUGGUGUUGAUAUUCCUUCUAAUUGGCUAUUUGUGGACACAGUUCCUUUAGCACGCGAAUGGAUGAAGUCUGAAGGUCUCUCUCACUCUCUGUGUAUUUUGUUGUGUUUUCUUUUACUUAUUUUAUCAUUAGGGACAGGAAAGGCAGGGCGCGAAAUGCAAACUCAUUUUCUGCAUACCUUUUUGUGGGGAUACUGAUAUUUUCAAUAUCAUUCAUUAAUCUGAUACUUCAUAUUUGGCUUUGUUAAUAGGAUUCAAAAUUUCUUCAAGAGUAUCUCUGGCAGUCCUUCGCGAUACAUUUGGAAUUAAGUUGACUGGAUCAGCUCACCGAGCAAUGUCGGAUGUGAACACAUUAUCAUUAGUUUUACAGAGGCUGACUUUCGACCUGAAAUUGACACUUGAUAGCUUAGUAGCAAAGUCGUUCACAGCCUCAGAUUUGACCAAUGUAAAGAAGAAGAAUUCAAGCUAGUUUAAAGUUGUAAUAUGUUCAUUGUAACUUGUAACUCAUUCUUUGUCAAAAUAAGCUCAAGCCAUUAUUUUUAAUAUUUAAUGUUUUGUUUAUUCCAUAUUUGGCUGGGAAAACACAGCAAAAUAAAUGUAAACAGAUGUAUAAUUUUUAGCAUGAAGGAUGUGAAUGCAAUAUUAAAGCUUG
rnacentral:misc_RNA from 1 species